GUGGGGAAUCUUGCGCAAUGGGCGAAAGCCUGACGCAGCCAUGCCGCGUGAAUGAUGAAGGUCUUAGGAUUGUAAAAUUCUUUCACCGGGGACGAUAAUGACGGUACCCGGAGAAGAAGCUCCGGCUAACUUCGUGCCAGCAGCCGCGGUAAUACGAAGGGGGCUAGCGUUGCUCGGAAUUACUGGGCGUAAAGGGCGCGUAGGCGGACAGCUUAGUCAGAGGUGAAAGCCCAGGGCUCAACCUUGGAAUUGCCUUUGAUACUGGCUGUCUUGAGUGUGGGAGAGGUGAGUGGAACUCCGAGUGUAGAGGUGAAAUUCGUAGAUAUUCGGAAGAACACCAGGGGCGAAGGCGACUCACUGGCCCAAUACUGACGCUGAGGCGCGAAAGCGUGGGGAGCAAACAGGAUUAGAAACCCCGGUAGUCC
rnacentral:rRNA from 1 species